UCUACCAAAAAAAAAAAAGACACACUACAAUUAGAGAAGCCCAAGCACUAUAGAAAAUAUUAGAUAGAGUGCAAAAAAAAAAAAAAAGUUUUGACAUGCAUGAUAGUGCAAGUGGUGUAUUAAAUAAUUCACCCAUAUGCUAGGACACUUCUUUCUUUUGAAAAACUCUAUUCAAGCCACCGACUGGUUGGAAGUUUUAUACUUAUUACAGAAUUAAUCUACACACACCAAAAGUCAAGGACAAUUAGGGGCCAUUGUUAGUCAUGUUGAAUAUUAUAAGGGUAACCAAAACAAAUGCAUGGCCAAAGAUAUGUAGGGUUGGAGUUGGCAAUUUUUUUCGUAGUUAUAGGACUCGCCUUCUACAUACAACAAAUUGCAAAACCAGACACUUACAUGGAAGCAUGAAAUCACAAAACAAAAUAGUGAAGGUAUGACUUACU
rnacentral:misc_RNA from 1 species